rnacentral:rRNA from 1 species
CCCUUAGAUGUCCUGGGCCGCACGCGCGCUACACUGACAUGUUCAACAAGCCUCCUAGUUCGACAGGAUUUGGGAAAUCUUUGAACGCAUGUCGUGAUAGGGAUAGAUCAUUGCAAUUAUUGAUCUUGAACGAGGAAUUCCUAGUAAACGCGAGUCAUCAGCUUGCAUUGAUUACGUCCCUGCCCUUUGUACACACCGCCCGUCGCACCUACCGAUUGAAUGUUUCGGUGAAGAUUCCGGAUAGGACUUUUUUGAUUUAUUUCAAUUUUGUCUUAAAAGCUAUCUAAACCUCAACAUUUAGAGGAAGGUGAAGUCGUAACA